rnacentral:rRNA from 1 species
GCUUGUCUCAAAGAUUAAGCCAUGCAUGUCUAAGUGUAAAUACGUCUACACUGUGAAACUGCGAAUGGCUCAUUAAAUCAGUUAUAGUUUCUUUGAUAGUCCCUUACUACUUGGAUACCCGUAGUAAUUCUAGAGCUAAUACAUGCAUCAACACCCGACUGUUCGCGGAAGGGUAGUAUUUAUUAGGUAUAGACCAACCCUCUUUUGGAGGUGCUUUGGUGAUUCAUAAUAACUUUUCGAAUCGCAUGGCCUUGUGCCGGCGAUGGAUCAUUCAAGUUUCUGCCCUAUCAGCU